rnacentral:rRNA from 1 species
AUUGAACGCUGGCGGCAGGCUUGACACAUGCAAGUCGAGCGGGGUGAUGGUGCUUGCACUAUCACUUAGCGGCGGACGGGUGAGUAAUGCUUAGGAAUCUGCCUAUUAGUGGGGGACAACAUCUCGAAAGGGAUGCUAAUACCGCAUACGUCCUACGGGAGAAAGCAGGGGAUCACUUGUGACCUUGCGCUAAUAGAUGAGCCUAAGUCGGAUUAGCUAGUUGGUGGGGUAAAGGCCUACCAAGGCAACGAUCUGUAGCGGGUCUGAGAGGAUGAUCCGCCACACUGGGACUGGGACACGGCCCAGACUCCUACGGGAGGCAGCAGUGGGGAAUAUUGGACAAUGGGGGGAACCCUGAUCCAGCCAUGCCGCGUGUGUGAAGAAGGCCUUAUGGUUGUAAAGCACUUUAAGCGAGGAGGAGGCUCUUUUGGUUAAUACCCAAGAUGAGUGGACGUUACUCGCAGAAUAAGCACCGGCUAACUCUGUGCCAGCCGCCGCCGUAA